rnacentral:lncRNA from 1 species
UAAUCCAGAUCCCAAUCCAGGUUCUAAUCCAGAUCCCAAUACAGAUCCAAAUACAGAUCCCAAUACAGAUCCCAAUACAGAUCCCAAUCCAGGUUCUAAUACAGAUCCCAAUACAGAUCCCAAUACAGAUCCCAAUCCAGGUUCUAAUACAGAUCCCAAUACAGAUCCCAAUCCAGGUUCUAAUACAGAUCCCAAUACAGAUCCCAAUACAGAUCCCAAUACAGAUUCUAAUCCAGAUCCCAAUCCAGGUUCUAAUCCAGAUCCCAAUCCAGAUCCAAAUACAGAUCCCAAUACAGAUCCCAAUACAGAUCCCAAUCCAGGUUCUAAUACAGAUCCCAAUACAGAUCCCAAUCCAGAUCCCAAUCCAGGUUCUAAUACAGAUCCCAAUACAGAUCCCAAUACAGAUCCCAAUACAGAUUCUAAUCCAGAUCCCAAUCCAGGUUCUAAUCCAGAUCCCAUUACAGAUCCAAAUACAGAUCCCAAUACAGAUCCCAAUACAGAUCCCAAUCCAGGUUCUAAUACAGAUCCCAAUACAGAUCCCAAUCCAGGUUCUAAUACAGAUCCCAAUACAGAUCCCAAUCCAGGUUCUAAUACAGAUCCCAAUACAGAUCCCAAUACAGAUCCCAAUACAGAUUCUAAUCCAGAUCCCAAUCCAGGUUCUAAUACAGAUCCCAAUACAGAUUCUAAUCCAGAUCCCAAUCCAGGUUCUAAUCCAGAUCCCAAUACAGAUCCAAAUACAGAUCCCAAUACAGAUCCCAAUCCAGGUUCUAAUACAGAUCCCAAUCCAGGUUCUAAUACAGAUCCCAAUCCAGGUUCUAAUACAGAUCCCAAUCCAGGUUCUAAUACAGAUCCCAAUCCAGGUUCUAAUACAGAUCCCAAUCCAGGUUCUAAUACAGAUCCCAAUCCAGGUUCUAAUACAGAUCCCAAUCCAGGUUCUAAUACAGAUCCCAAUCCAGGUUCUAAUACAGAUCCCAAUCCAGAUUCUAAUCCAGAUCCCAAUCCUGUGAUCCUAGAGGAAGUACAUUGGAAAAAGUAUUUUUUUAAUAAAAAAAAAAAAAGGUCUUAAAAAAAAAAAAAC